GUUUAGCCAUACGUCUCUUAAGACGGCUAAACCCGAAUGAUUCUAAUUCUUGGUCUAGCACUGCAUAACCAUAGUUCAAUAAACAUAUGGAAAAUAUGGUUUAAAGGCCUCCGCACACGGAGCAAUACGAAAACAGUAAAAAGUUGCAAAGCGAUGUUGGCGAUACUUGUGAUAUUGGUAACAUUGGUGAUCUGAGGAACUAGGGGAGCAUUUUAAACAGUCAACUUGUGCGUCCUAUUGCGUAAAAAUGUCGAGUGCAUCAAGCGACGAAGAAAUGUUGUAUUUGUAUCGGUACAGAAGAAACAGAAACAGGUUCAUCCUUAUAACGAGCGAAACAUAAGAUGUGGGUUGUUCGUGGCAACUGCAAGAAUGUGAUACAAAUGCCUUGCAUUCUACAUGAUACAUGAGGGAAUGUGUCACUGCUGAAGAAAGGAUUUUAAUUACAUUAAGUUGAGGUUCAGCAGUUAAAGGAGGAUUAUAUUCAUUAUUUGGACGAGAGGGACGCUAUUUCGGAUGGAAAUCUUUGAGGAAUAGAAGAGUGACUAGGGCUGCAAACAACACUUAUUAUCUCACCAAUUAAAACGAAAGUUUUUCGCUUGAACAAUCUUAUUUGAGCAUCAGUCAGUGGCAAGAUGUUGGGACAAUGCUGUUGAAAAAGUCUAAAAGUCCCUCUUUCCUUCCGUCUUUAGAUCCAAGUGAUUUUUUUUCGCAACGUAAUAUUCUGCGACUGCUUUAUCGACAUCGUUUUCAGAAGUACAGGAUUUUCUUUUUUUACUACAUUGUUUUCUCGCAGCCGGAAGAAUUUCGGGCAGUUGUGGUUCAGGAUUAUCAGGCUGUUUGCUGAUUUCCGACAGAGAAUGUUGUGGUACUAAAGAUGUAGAUGCAAGAUAUGUUGGAGUUGGUAGUAAUAGUGGUGAUAGAAAGGGAGACAAAAAGGCAUCAUCCUCAGAUUCGGGACGUUCAAUAGUUUCAGUUUCAGGGACAAUUUCCUCUGUUCUUUUAGAAUUUUUAUAUACAUUACUUCCUCUUCAAAUGCUAAACACACCCAUACGUAGCAGAGAUGUUACCAAAGUUAAUGUUACCACAACCUCAUACGCAAAAGAGAGGGAUGUCAAUACACAUUUCGAAACGAAGAAGAAAACAUUGAAAUUGUUUCCUCCUAACAUUCCUCCCUGUGUGGCUUCUACUAUAAGCAUGGUGAAUGGUGCAUCAGCAGGUUUUGAGGUUAGAAACUAUUUGGCAAGUUAUCUUUUAAAGCCGCAAGCAUCUCUUCCAUGGCAACGGAAAUAUUUUGUGUAAAAUUAAAUAUGUUAUAAGUUAUAAAGAGCUAAUAAAUUAUUCCAUCUACUACUUA